ACAACUCAAGAAUCUUCUAUUCCCCACAGGCGGCGCCAAAAUGUGGACGUUGGAUUCACACACUCGAAUAUUUGCUUAUUUAGUGGGAAAGAUUAUUCUUGAGAACAAAAAUAUGAUAUGAAAAAGCUAUGAAUUGCAAUGAAAAUGAUUAUAGUUUAUUUGCUAGAAAAAUUGCCUCUCCUUUACAUGGCUCAUGCCCCUAUUAUUUAUACUAACAAACGACAUUUAACUCUCAAUUUAAUACAAUUAUUCUCUCUUAAAUGUGUCCGUUUUGGUCUUCGAAUUUAAUGCUCAACGUUUGAAUUUGAAUUGAUUCUGAUCUUCAUGGGCUUCGCCCUUUAGCCCAAAAGCCCCGAACUGAAAUGAUCUUCAACUUCGACUGCGUAUCCUUCUCGUGGUGAGACCACUCCGAUCCCUCUUCGUGGUAUAACUACCUCGACUAAACUUUUGGGCUUAUAUGUCUAUCGGGCCUUGUCCUCUAUGGGCUUAUGUCCUGCCUAUGUGACAAUCUUUGGUUGGUCCCGAACCACCCAUGCGGGAUCCGACACCAACACAUCUUGCUUACUGGCCAGAGUUCUCUUAGGAAAUAUACUGCAACUCUACUCCUUUUUUGGAGAGCAAUAUCCCAAACUCAGCCUCUCAUGGCUGGAGAAGCAUCUGCCUGGGCAUAAAUCUACUCAAACCACAUCUUGGCAAACUCUUGGGCAAUGGAGAAGACACAUCUAUUUGGUAUGAUCCCUGGCUAUCUCUCUCCAAACCACAAUUUCCCUUUGGACCUACAACGGAAGCAACACAAAAUCUGCGGGUAUCACAUCUCCUUCACAGUGACUCUUUGAAAUGGAAUGAAGGCCUGAUUGAUGAGUUGCUACCUGAUAAUAAGUCAGAUAUCCUGAAACUACGUCCAAGCAUGCUGGGAGGGACUGAUCGAUGGGCCUGGCUUCCGACUUCUUUGGGGAUUUACUCAGCAAAAUCUGGCUACUAUGAAGCCCUGGCCAUGGAAAACUCAGAGUCUUCUUGCAGAGAGCCUCCCUCACCUCUUGAUGACUAUGAUUGGAAAGCAAAUAUUUGGAGACUUAAAAGCUCCCCCAAGAUAACACUCCUCCUCUGGAAAGCGAUGCAAAACGCCUUACCUGUAGGAGAGAACCUGAAACGCCGCAACAUCCUCAACUCUGUGCACUGCAGCCAUUGUGGAGCAGAAGAAUCGAUAGUCCACCUAUUCUUCUCCUGCUCAUUUGCUGCUCAGAUCUGGAAGAAUUUGCCCAGCAAGACCUUAUUGAAUGCUAACCACAUCUCCAAUUUUAAAGAAGGAUAUGAAGCCUCAAAGCUCCUCACGUGCCUCCCUCCAAUUGGAUUAGGCGAGGGUCUUCUAUCCCCUUGGAUCUUCUGGGCGAUCUGGAAUGCCAGGAACCAAAGAGUUUUCAAUGACCGCCACCUCCAACUUGAAGAGGUUAUCUUACAGGCAAUCCUCAAAGCAAAAGAUUGGUCCCAAGCCCAACUACCUACUGGCCAGAUCGACAAACCUGUGAAUAGCUCAGCCUGCAAACCUUUGGCGAACCAUAUCAUUAUAUGUCACACAGAUGCAGCUUGGAAACCAGAUCAAAAUGCAGGAUUUGGCUGGAUUUUUACGGAUCAUCGCAAAAUAGAACUAGGCCAUGGCUCUGGUUAUGCUGCAAACGUUGGAUCUCCUCUUUUGGCAGAGGCGAUAGCAAUCUUCCUCGCGGCUCAACAUGCCCGUAACCUGGGUUUCACCCACAUUUCUCUUGCUUCUGACUCGUCUCAACUAGUCACAUCACUCAAUUCGGAGCUCCGACCAAAGGAACUCCACGGGAUCAUCUUUGAUAUCCUCGAUCUAUCCUCUUUGUUUGAUGUUUUCUCUUUCAAUUUCAUUUCUCGCAAACUCAAUCACGCUGCUGAUUCUCUG
rnacentral:lncRNA from 1 species